rnacentral:rRNA from 1 species
UACGAGAGGCCCAAACGUUAUUCGGAAUUACUGGGCUUAAAGAGUUCGUAGGCGGCAUGAAAAGCAGGGUGUGAAAGCCCUCGGCUCAACCGAGGAAUUGCGCUCUGAACUGUCGUGCUUGAGGAACCUAGAGGUGAGCAGAACAGAUGGUGGAGCGGUGAAAUGCGUUGAUAUCGAUCGGAACACCCAUGGCGAAGGCAGCUCGCUGGCCUGCAACUGACGCUGAGGCGCGAAAGCCGGGGGAGCAAACAGG